UGAAUACGAGAUGCUACGGCGUCGAAGCAGUGUAUGUCAGACUUCCAAGAAAAGCUCGCAAUGUCAUAAAUAAAGAAUGCCUGUACCAUAACCGACACAGGUGGGUAGGUAGAGUAUACUAAGGGGCGCGAGAUAACUCUCUCUAAGGAACUCGGCAAAAUAACUCCGUAACUUCGGGAGAAGGAGUGCCUUCUUUAAGAAGGUUGCAAUAACAAGAUCCAAGCAACUGUUUAUCAAAAACACAGGUCUCCGCUAAGUCGUAAGACGAUGUAUGGGGGCUGACGCCUGCCCAGUGCCAGAAGGUUAAAGAAGUUGGUUAGCUUUUGCGAAGCUGAUGACUGAAGCCCUGGUGAACGGCGGCCGUAACAAUAACGGUCCUAAGGUAGCGAAAUUCCUUGUCGGGUAAGUUCCGACCCGCACGAAAGGCGUAAUGAUUUGGAUACUGUCUCGGAGAGGGACUCGGUGAAAUAGACUUGUCUGUGAAGAUGCGGACUACCUGCACCAGGACAGAAAGACCCUAUGAAGCUUUACUGUAACUUGAAAUUGAAAUUGGACUUUAUUUGCGCAGUAUAGGUGGAAGGCGUUGAAAGUAAUCUUGCGGGAUUAGUGGAGCCAUCAGUGAGAUACCACUCCUAUAAUGUUAGAUUUCUAACUUUGGAUCAUGAUCUGGUCAAAGAACAGUUUCAGGCGGGCAGUUUGACUGGGGCGGUCGCCUCCCAAAUGGUAACGGAGGCGUACAAAGGUUUCCUCUGAACGGGUAGAAAUCGUAUCUAGAGUGUAAAGGCAUAAGGAAGCUUGACUGUGAGACCUACAAGUCGAGCAGGGACGAAAGUCGGUCUUAGUGAUCUGACGGUGCUGAGUGGAAAGGCCGUCACUCAACGGAUAAAAGUUACUCUAGGAUAACAGGCUGAUCUCCCCCAAGAGUUCACAUCGACGGGGAGGUUUGGCACCUCGAUGUCGGCUCAUCGCAUCCUGGGGCGGUAGUACGUCCCAAGGGUUGGGCUGUUCGCCCAUGAAAGCGGUACGCGAGCUGGGUUCAGAACGUCGUGAGACAGUUCGGUCCAUAUCCGGUGUAGGCGUUAGAAUAUUGAGAGGAGCCUUCUUUAGUACGAGAGGACCGAGAAGGACAUACCUCUGGUGUACCAGUUAUCGUGCCAACGGUAAACGCUGGGUAGCUAUGUAUGGAGAGGGUAACCGCUGAAAGCAUCUAAGUGGGAAGCCCACCUCAAGAUGAGUAUUCUCAC
rnacentral:rRNA from 1 species